rnacentral:rRNA from 1 species
AUGAACGCUGGCGGCGUGCCUAAUACAUGCAAGUCGAGCGAACAGACGAGGAGCUUGCUCCUCUGACGUUAGCGGCGGACGGGUGAGUAACACGUGGAUAACCUACCUAUAAGACUGGGAUAACUUCGGGAAACCGGAGCUAAUUCCGGAUAAUAUAUUGAACCGCAUGGUUCAAUAGUGAAAGACGGUUUUGCUGUCACUUAUAGAUGGAUCCGCGCCGCAUUAGCUAGUUGGUAAGGUAACGGCUUACCAAGGCAACGAUGCGUAGCCGACCUGAGAGGGUGAUCGGCCACACUGGAACUGAGACACGGUCCAGACUCCUACGGGAGGCAGCAGUAGGGAAUCUUCCGCAAUGGGCGAAAGCCUGACGGAGCAACGCCGCGUGAGUGAUGAAGGUCUUCGGAUCGUAAAACUCUGUUAUUAGGGAAGAACAAAUGUGUAAGUAACUAUGCACGUCUUGACGGUACCUAAUCAGAAAGCCACGGCUAACUACGUG